rnacentral:snoRNA from 1 species
CUGCAGCCAGUUAAGCCGACUGUGCUCUUUUCCCAUGGGGCCCAGUGUGCAAUGGCUGCGAACAGCAGCCUCCUUGGUAGUGUAUGCAGCCUGUUGGUUGUACGGGUUGCCCUAAGGGACCUUGGAGACAGUU